rnacentral:rRNA from 1 species
CGGACGGGUGAGUAAUGCUUGGGAAUCUGGCUUAUGGAGGGGGAUAACUACGGGAAACUGUAGCUAAUACCGCGUAGUAUCGGGAGAUGAAAGACUGGGACCGCAAGGCCAGUUGCCAUAAGAUGAGCCCAAGUGGGAUUAGGUAGUUGGUGGGGUAAAGGCCUACCAAGCCGACGAUCUCUAGCUGGUCUGAGAGGAUGACCAGCCACACUGGAACUGAGACACGGUCCAGACUCCUACGGGAGGCAGCAGUGGGGAAUAUUGCACAAUGGGGGGAACCCUGAUGCAGCCAUGCCGCGUGAAUGAAGAAGGCCUUCGGGUUGUAAAGUUCUUUCGGUGAUGAGGAAGGUGUUUGUUUUAAUAGAGCAAGCAAUUGACGUUAGUCACAGAAGAAGCACCGGCUAACUCCGUGCCAGCAGCCGCGGUAAUACGGAGGGUGCGAGCGUUAAUCGGAAUGACUGGGCGUAAAGGGCACGCAGGCGGUGACUUAAGUGAGAUGUGAAAGCCCCGAGCUUAACUUGGGAAUUGCAUUUCAUACUGGGUUGCUAGAGUAUUUUAGGGAGGGGUAGAAUUCCACGUGUAGCGGUGAAAUGCGUAGAGAUGUGGAGGAAUACCGAAGGCGAAGGCAGCCCCUUGGGAAAAUACUGACGCUCAUGUGCGAAAGCGUGGGGAGCAAACAGGAUUAGAUACCCUGGUAGUCCACGCUGUAAACGCUGUCGAUUUGGGGAUUGGGCUUUGUGCUUGGUGCCCGUAGCUAACGUGAUAAAU